rnacentral:lncRNA from 1 species
GGAGGUGUACCUUUUUGUUCACAGAUAAGGGCAUGCUUGGGUAAUCCAGCAAGUUUGAUCUGGAUUCCUGCUAGCUUUGUGGACUUGGCAACCCAUUUGGACAUGGCCCAUAUCAGCAGAACACAUCCUAAUCCUAAUCCUAUGGGAAAAAGGAAGGAACUCUAUGGGUCUUUUUUCUUCCUAAGACCAAUAGACCCAUAGGCUGAGACCGAGGCUGGAACUUCGAUGAGCCUUUUCAAGAUUGCGGGCUGGACAGACCAACAAGCUCGAUUAUUGCAGGAACAGCCAUCUGAAAUUCUUCUAGACAGCGGAGUCCAGAAA